rnacentral:lncRNA from 1 species
AUGCCCUCUUCCUCCUCAGAGUCCUUCAUUCCCAUAAUCUCUUUCACAUUCCUGGGCCAAAUACUCACCACAAUCAAGCCAAGUCCAACAAAGAGUGCAACAAUGGCUGUGGUGGCAGCCAGAGAAAUGAGGAUGAUUCCAAUGGGCGUCAGGAGCCCAGUGGGCUUCACUGCAGUUACUGAAUCUGUUCCCUCAGAGUGAGUGUUGAGAUGCUUAGUGGUAUAAUCCUCUGUGGUUCCUGGGUCUGCAGUGGUGUAGUCCUUGGUGGUCCCCAGGUCUGCAGUGCAAGAGUACACAGUGGUCCUCAGGUCAGCAGUGGUGUGGUCCUUGGUGGUCCCCAGGUCUGCAGUGAAAGAGUCCACAGUGGUCCCUGGGUCUGUAGUGAAAGAGUCUUUGGUAGUCCCCCUGUCAGCAAUGGUGUGGUCCUCGGUGGUUUCCAGGUCUGCAGUGAAAGAGUCCUUGGUGGUCCCUGGUUCUACACUGAUAUAGUCCUUGGUGAUCCCUGGGUCAUCAGUGGUGUAGUCCUUGGUGGUCACCAGGUCCACAAUGAAAGAGUCUGUGGUUGUCCCCAGAUCUGAAGUGGUAUAGUCCUCAGUGGUCCCCAGGUCUACAGUGGUGUAGUGCUCAGUGGUCCCCAGGUCUGAAGUGUCAUAGUCCUCAGGGGUCUCCAAGUGUUCAGUGGUAUAGUCUUCAAUAGUGCCUGGGCCGUGAAUGACAUGGUCCUCAGUGGGCCCCAGGUCUGCAGUGGUGUAAUCCUUGGUGGUCCCUGGGUCUGCAGUGAAAGAGUCUUCAGUGGUACCCAGGUCUACAGUGGUGUAGUCCUCAGUGGUCCUCGGGUCAUCAGUGAUGUAGUCCUCAAUGGUCCCCAGGUCUGCAGCAAAAGAGUCUUUGGUGGUUCCCAGGUCUGCUGUGGUAUAGUCCUCAGGCCCCAGGGCUACAGUAGUAUAGUCAUCAUAGGCCCCUGAGUCUGUAGUGGUGUAGUACUCAGAGGUCUCCAGGUGUUCAGUGGUGUAGUCCUCAGUGGUGCCUGGCGCCUCAAUGACGUGAUCCUCAAUGGUCCCCAGAUCAUCAGUGAUAUUGUCCUCAGUGGGCCCCAGGUCUGCAGUGGUGUAGUCCUCAAGGGUCUCCAGGGGUUCAGUGGUGUAGUCCUCAUUGGUACCUAGGGCCUCAAUGAUAUGAUCUUCAG